rnacentral:rRNA from 1 species
AGUCGUUCUGCCCAUUGAAAUUAAAAGGCUGCAGUAUAUUAACUGUACAAAGGUAGCAUAAUAAAUAGUUUUUUAAUUGAAAACUUGAAUGAAUGAAUUGAUAAAAUAUAAUUUGUCUCUAGAAUUUAAAUUAAAUUAAAAGUAAAAAUGCUUUUAUUUAAUUAUUAGACGAUAAGACCCUAAGAAUUUUAAUUUAUUUUAUAAUUUUUAAUUUUAAUGUAAUAAAAUAAUUUUUAUUGGGAGGAUAAUUAAAUUAAACUUUAAUUGUAAUAAAUAAUUUAAUUAAAUUUAAUGAUUAUUAUUAUAAUUAUAAGAAAUAAUUACCUUAGGGAUAACAGCGUAAUAAUUUUGGAAAGUUCAUAUUGAUAAAAUUGUUUGCGACCUCGAUGUUGAAUUAAAAUAAAAUUUAAGUGGAGAUAUUUAAUUUUUUAGUCUG